UGCUGCUUUCUAAAAAGAGGGUUGGCCACCCAGCACAGAACAUGAGUCAGGUAACUGUAACAGAACGUUGCCUCUGAGCUCCGGUGAAUUUUGGACACGCAUCGAUUCGGUUUGGGAGGUAGGGAGUGACAAACAUAUUUCUCUGAAAGGGAUUUUUCUGUACUCCCAUGUCUAUUUUAAAAACCUUAUAGACGUUUUAAGUUUCACGUUUUCGUGUGUCUGCUGCACUGAUGUGACGAGUUUUGCGUUUCAAAAGCGGAUACAACGCUCAGGUGUUUGUUUUUCAUAGGUGGAUUUUCUGCCUUUUAAAAAAAUUAUUCCUAAAUAGAGCAGCGACAGGAGGUUUUCCCCUGCGGUAUAUUUCUUUAUUGCAAUACUCUUUUUUACCACGUCAGUUUUUUCUUUCUUUCGUUUUUAAAUAUUUAAUUUGCAACCACCGACAACGCCGAGUGGCCACGUUGGAACAAACAGAUUGAAGAUGGACGAGGCAGAGAAGUACACACAGAGACUGCAGGRGAUCACUGAGAAGCGUCGUCUGCAGGAGGAACAGGAGAGGGCCAAGAGGGAGAUGGAGGAGGAGAGGCUGAGGCUACAGCAGCUCAAG